UUUAUUUUUAGAUGCAAGUUGUAUCAAGGAAUAGAGUCUGUGUUCUAUGUUAGAACAGCGAAUUCCCCAGAAAAUUAACAACAGGGCAUUUUAGCCUGCCCACUGAAAUCCUGGAAAAACAACCCAAGCUCUCGUUUCUGCAAAGCCAGAAACACAACUUUUGAAGGGAAGUGUUUGCAUCUUGCUUUUUUCACAGCAAAUGCUAAGGAGCACAUGAAAAUGACAAGAGCCGCUUGCUUCUUUGAAACUGCUUUCUCUUUGGUGUCUGAAGUCCAGGAAGUACACUAUCUGUCUCUCUUCCUCUACAAGGAGUUCUCAAAGCUCCAUUUCCAAGCACGAUGGGUUUCAAGAAUUUUAGCCUGCACUUUUAUGUGGCAGCUUCAAGAAAUUGUUAUCUGUGCUUUAAAUGGAUUAACCAAGCAUUCAUCUUAAAUCUAUAGUGUUCACUCAUUUUUGACUUUUGAGUGUUUAUGCAUUUUGGAGUGUUUGAGGAAAUAAGAAAAAUAGGACCUUUGUGGUUCCUGAGUUCUGAAGGAAUAUUCAAAUAAUGCACAUGGUAACUUUAGUCUGGGAAGCCAGAUGUAACCUUCCUUUCCAUCCCAGAGCAGUGAGGGUCAGAGGCUUCACUGAGGGGAGGACACAUUUGAUCUAAGAUCAAGGCUAAUAGGUGAGACAGAGCAGAGUACCCCAGAAGAAAGGAAGGAAGGAAGGAAGGAAGGGAGGAAGGAAGGAAGGAAGGAAGGAAGGAAGGAAGGAAGACGAUGUCCAUGCCAAUGUCUCCAUAAGCCUCCAUCAGUCCUUUGUCUGGCAUGAAUGGUGGGGGAGUGAUGACAGGGGAGAGGAGACUGGAAUGCUCACUGCGAAUUUCACCUUCCCUCCAUAGGACCAGAAACACAAGGACAAUGAAGAGCCCCUCAUCCUGCAGGAGAGUAGCCAUGUCUGUCUUCCUCAAAUCUUUUUUCAUUCUUUUUUUCAUGCUGUGUUUUGUUCUCUGCUAAAGAUGCUAUGUAAUCUCAACAUCACAGAUUUCAGGAGCAUUGUUUAUAUAGACUCCCUGCAACUCUACAAUCUAUUGUUUUGUCUGUCUCCCAUUCUCUUUUCUUUACUUUCCAACCCACAACAAAGCACUCAAUACUACUCAAGUUAUGCCUGGGGUAAUGUAAUGUUUUUCUUCUUUCAUCAUGUCUGCCUUCAGUCUAAAAGCUAAAGAGCAGAGCUGUCUUCUAAAUGCAUGAUUUUCACUAUUUUGUCCAUUUACGUGUUUCCCCAUACUAAAAUUUAGAGGGGUAUCUUCUAAAACAAGAAAUGACUACACAGUACUUAUCAUAGCGGCUAAGCAUAGAAGCAAUGGAACCAAGGAGACCCAAGCUAAAUUUUCUUUCUUCUCUGUCAGUAAAUGGCUACAGAAAAUUGGGGGCAAUUACUAAAAUACCCAAUAUCUCAUCUUAAGGAAUUUUAAAUUUUAAAGAAUAUUGAUCAGUUGUGGCACAGGAUAACAGCACAAAGAGAUGUAAGCUGAUAAAUAGUAUGAACAUCUACUUAGAAAAAGGAAAACAGCAAAAAAAAUGAGGUGCUAAUAGUCACCAGCCCUGCUCAUUACCUCCAAAAGGAUAAACAGCAACAAGAAAGAAGAAAAAUGUAAAAUACUGCUUUCAGAAACAAAGUGGAGAACGUAGGGAUUUAAAGCUGUACAACUGGUGACCUGACAGCAUGGGGAGGCAUUCCUGCUCCCAUGCCAGCGCACAGCCACUGCUGGGUGAUUCCCAGAGCAGACAGUGUUCAUGAAACAAUCACACUAUGGAUCUGGGCAUGCUCAGAACAUGUACUCCACUACAAGGAAGACAAGAGAUAUCACUGAAGAAAAGCUUGACAUGUUUGCAGGGGAAAAGAAAAUCGAUGAACUUGUCAAGCAAAGCAAUAUUAUGCUGUGACUUUGAACUUGGGUGAGACAAAUUAAACAUCGUGUGGAUUUUCUUAUAGGAGCUGCUAAAGAUCAGAACCCCACAGGGCCAUUGAGUGGAUGAAGGGGACAUAUGGUUGGAGGUCGACAGCAGGGCAAUGGAUGGUUCUUACUGCUUGAUUAUUUAUCUUGUUUAAAAGAAAAUAAAUACAGUUCAUAUGCA